GCCUUGGAGCUCAGCAGUCACCACGCGGUGAACAGACUGAACACAGACGACUCACCAUGGAGCUUGUGCUGAGCUGGGUUUUCCUAUUUGCCAUUUUUAAAGGUGUCCAGGCUGAGGUGCAGCUGGUGGAGUCUGGGGGAGGCUUGGUGCAGCCUGGGGGUUCCCUGAGACUCUCCUGCGUGGGCUCGGGAUUCAACUUCGGGAAUAGUGGCAUGAACUGGAUCCGCCAGGCUCCAGGGAAGGGGCUAGAGUGGAUCGCAGUGAUCUACUAUGAUAGUAGUAAAAUGUACUACGCAGACUCAGUGAAAGGCCGAUUCACCAUCUCCAGAGACAACACCAAGAGCACACUGUAUCUGCAAAUGAGCAGCCUGAGACCCGAGGACACGGCCGUGUAGUACUGUGCAGCUUACACAGUGAGGGGACAGCAGUGUGAGCUCAGACAGAAACCUAUGUGUUGGGGAGCAUUUGACUGCCCAGCAGGGGUCGCUGUGGUCCAGGAAGA